AUUGAACGCUGGCGGCAGGCCUAACACAUGCAAGUCGAGCGAGCGUCGGACGGGUGAGUAAUGUAUGGGGCCUGCCCGAUAGCGGGGGAUAACUACUGGAAACGGUCGCUAAUACCGCAUACUAUCGGAUAACCCAUAUGGGAUUAGCUAGUAGGGGGGGUAACGGCUCACCAAGGCAACGAUCCGUAGCUGGUUUGAGAGGACGACCAGCCACAUUGGGACUGAGACACGGCCCAGACUCCUACGGCGGAAGCAGUGGGGAAUGUUGGACAAUGGGGUAAACCCGGAUCUAGCCAUCCCGAGUGUAUGAUGAAGGCCUUCGGGUUGUACAGUACUUUUGGCAUAGAAGCGGUAUCUGCAGAAUAAGCACCGGCUAACUACGUGCCAGCAGCCGCGGUAAUAC
rnacentral:rRNA from 1 species